AUGGUCGGCCGGUGCCGGCGGCUCCCGGGGCUCCCACUGCGGCUCCUCGGCUGGGGCGGCGGCUCCGGCCGCAGCUCGGCGGACUGGCGAUUCCCGGGGCUCACGCCGCAGCUCGGCGGACCAGCGGGUUCCGUGGCUCCCGCCGCAGCUCCUCGGCCCGGGGCGGCGGCUCCCGUUGCAGCUCGGCGGCCCGCCGCGGCGGCUCCCGCUCCAGCUCCAGCUGCAGCUCGGCAGAUGGUGCGCUCGUUGCUGUUGCAGGGUUACUACAAGUGUAGCAGCGUUAGGGGCUGCCUAGCGAGGAGAUGCCAAGAGGUUCAAACCCUGGAUCCGUGUGGCACUGUGUGUGUUUGGCGUGGGGUGGGAGGAAGGGGAGAUAAUAUACUGACCAAUCUGGAGCAGAUCGUGGUGAUCCAUGGACGCAACAGUCGCCUCCCUGUCCGGCAGUCUGUGGGAUCGUCUCAGUUGUCAUCUGUGUGA
rnacentral:rRNA from 1 species